UUAUAUUUGUUUUCAUUCAGACUGAUUGAGAGUAAAGGUUGCCCGAAGGCAAGCAGAGGUAGAUUUGCAAGGGUGGCCAGUAAACUGGUAAUGAUCCUUCCGCAGGUUCACCUACGGAACAAGAAUACAAUUGCUUGCGCAAAGGUUUCGACUAUAUCAAAGAUACCACCACCAUUUAGUCUGUGAACCACGAGGGCUGCUGGUAGUCAAAGCGACCUUCCAGCAAUUUAAUGGUGUAGCCCGAAGGCUAAGUAACGAGGCUCCCA
rnacentral:misc_RNA from 1 species